AUAAGAGCAGAGGAGUGAAGUAGUGAAACCUGUCACAGAACAGAAGAUGGCUCGACAGCUGUGUUGAUGGGAGAUGAGGAGCUCACAUUCUAAUGAAGAAGACAACACAUGGUAGAGGAGGUUCCACCUGCAAGUCAGGUGAAGAAGUCCCUUGGUCUAUAAGAUUAUUACCAAGUAACCUGGUGAACAACUUCGCUGAGAAGAUGAACAGAGCAAUCUUCGUGGUGUUACGUUUUGUUAUGCAAUCAUAUAUGAACUUAACAUACUGCUAGAAGACGCUUUGCUUAAGCAGAGAGCUCAAGGCUGAAUUUUGCUGUAGCAAGUUAAAUGGUUUUCUAUAAUCAACAAGCUGACCCAUCAAGCUCCCCUUUUCUCUGUGACUUUCGGACAGUUGUGGGAUUAUGAAGAAGAUCUAGUCUGCUGCAGGAAAUCGUUGAGAGACCUGCCUCUCCUUAUGCUCCUCAGGGCUGCCUUGGAUGCUUGCAAAAACCUUUCUCAUAAGGACUUUUAUAGAAGGGGGAAGUAGGCAUAUGGUUCGGCAGGGGCUGAUGUCUACCUGGUUACCUUUUUGGGUAAAAAUCCCAUCCAUAGUUUUCCAUUGUUUUGAAAUUUUCCCUUCUUUGUGAUACAUUUAAAAUCAUUCCUGAGUGCCUUUGAAAUUCUGUUUUUCUGGUGCAGGUUUCUUCUGCGAAUCCCUGUCCUAGGUCCUCAUACUGAAUAAAUGCCAGGGCUGCUUUGUCAGAGAAGCAGUACAACGGGUAUUGAGGUGGUGAGGCUCGCUCGAAUGGGGCCUUUCCAACUACUGUCGCUUACUAGAAUCGAUUACCAUAGAGAUGCUGGCCAAUCAGUGCCACUUGAUGCUUAUUUUUUUCUUCAACCAUUUUCAGCUACAGCUAUUCUUUGGAUGAUCUAGUUUAAUGGGAUCUCACACCAAAUGGUGAGGCUCAUUUCCCCUUCAACUGACUUUUGCCCUUUUGGGAGGUGAUGCUGCUUGUAAUCUUCUAUGCUUCUCCUCCAUAUUAUUUUGUAGAUGGUCUUUUACUCUAAACCAGUGUUGCUGUUGGCCACACUUUGUAGGAUCAAAUGUUUUCCGUCUGAGGUGCUUUGUGGUUUUUUAGACUUAUUCAUUGUGCUUACAGUUUUACUUCAGUUAAACUUCUUAAAGAAAUGAUGAUAAUCUAAGUCAAUGUCUUUUUUCCAUCUUUUUCUUUUUCUUUUUUGAGUUGACAGGUGAUUUAAACAGCCUAGGUUGGAGCUGUUGUAGC